UGAAAAGGUAAACCCAUGCGAAAGCUGGGGGCACAAAGCCGCGAGUCUAAGGCAUAUAAUUUAUGCUAUGAUUGUCAGGUUGC
rnacentral:ncRNA from 1 species